rnacentral:rRNA from 1 species
GUGAAUCAUCGAAUCUUUGAACGCAUCUUGCGCUUGCUGGUAUUCCGGCAAGCAUGCCUGUUUGAGUGUCAUGAAAAUUAUCAACCAUGACUUGGGUUUAGGCCCUUGUUCUUGGCUUGGAUUUGGGUGCUUGCGGUCUUGUGCUGCUCACCUUAAAAGGAUUAGCUGGACAUGUCUUUUGACUUGGUUCUACUUGGCGUAAUAAGUAUUUCGCUGAGGACAUCCCUUCUGGGGUGGCCAAGACUCUGGCAAACGUCUGCUUUCUAACUCGACUGUCCUAGGACAUCACUUUUUAUGAUCUGGCCUCAAAUCAGGUAGGACUACCGCUGAACUUAA